rnacentral:tRNA from 1 species
GACUUUAGUGGUAAUUGUUUGUUUUGAAAGCAAAUUAAGGAUGUUCGAUUCAUCCAAGAGUUU